AGAGUUUGAUCCUGGCUCAGAACGUACGCUGGCGGCACGCCUAAUACAUGCAAGUCGAACGAAGUAGCAAUACUUAGUGGCAGACGGGUGAGUAACAUGUAGGUAUCUACCCUUUGGCCUGGAAUAACACGAGGAAACUUGUGCUAAUACCGGAUAAGUCUUUACGGAGAAAGCUUUAUGCACCAUUGGAUGAGCCUGCACUUGAUUAGUUUGUUGGUGGGGUAAUGGCCUACCAAGACAAUGAUCAAUAGCUGAUUUGAGAGGAUGAUCAGCCACAUUGGGACUGAGACACGGCCCAAACUCCUACGGGAGGCAGCAGUGGGGAAUCUUGCACAAUGGGGGAAACCCUGAUGCAGCGAUGCCGCGUGAGUGAAGAAGGCCUUUGGGUUGUAAAGCUCUUUCGUCGGGGAAGAAAAUGACUGUACCCGAAUAAGAAGGUCCGGCUAACUUCGUGCCAGCAGCCGCGGUAAUACGAAGGGACCUAGCGUAGUUCGGAAUUACUGGGCUUAAAGAGUUCGUAGGUGGUUAAAAUAGUUGGUGGUGAAAUCCCAGAGCUUAACUCUGGAACUGCCAUCAAAACUUUUUAGCUAGAGUAUGAUAGAGGAAAGUAGAAUUUCUAGUGUAGAGGUGAAAUUCGUAGAUAUUAGAAAGAAUUCCAAUUGCGAAGGCAGCUUUCUGGAUCAUUACUGACACUGAGGAACGAAAGCAUGGGUAGCGAAGAGGAUUAGAUACCCUCGUAGUCCAUGCCGUAAACGAUGUGUGCUAGACGUUGGGAAUUUAUUUUUCAGUGUCGCAGCAAAAGCGUUAAGCACACCGCCUGGGGAGUACGACCGCAAGGUUAAAACUCAAAUGAAUUGACGGGGACCCGCACAAGUAGUGGAGCAUGUGGUUUAAUUCGAAGAUACGCGCAGAACCUUACCAACACUUGACAUGUUCGUCGCGACUCUAAGAGAUUAGAGUUUUCGGUUCGGCCGGACGAAACACAGGUGCUGCAUGGCUGUCGUCAGCUCGUGUCGUGAGAUGUUGGGUUAAGUCCCGCAACGAGCGCAACCCUCACUUUUAGUUGCCACCAUUAAGUUGAGCACUCUGAAAGAACUGCCAGUGAUAAGCUGGAGGAAGGUGGGGAUGACGUCAAGUCCUCAUGGCCCUUACGUGUUGGGCUACACACGUGCUACAAUGGCACUUACAAUAGGACGCAAGAACGCGAGUUCAAGCAAAUCCUAAAAAAGUGCCUCAGUUCGGAUUGUACUCUGCAACUCGAGUACAUGAAGCUGGAAUUACUAGUAAUCGCGGAUCAGCGCGCCGCGGUGAAUACGUUCCCGGGUCUUGUACACACCGCCCGUCACACCAUGGAAGUUGGUUACACCUUAAGGCAAAGCAUAAAACCUUUGACUACGGUACGAUCAGCGACUGGGGUGAAGUCGUAACAAGGUAACC
rnacentral:rRNA from 1 species